GAUGAACGCUGGCGGCGUGCCUAAUACAUGCAAGUCGAGCGAACGGACGAGAAGCUUGCUUCUCUGAUGUUAGCGGCGGACGGGUGAGUAACACGUGGAUAACCUACCUAUAAGACUGGGAUAACUUCGGGAAACCGGAGCUAAUACCGGAUGAUAUUUUGAACCGCAUGGUUCAAAAGUGAAAGACGGUCUUGCUGUCACUUAUAGAUGGAUCCGCGCUGCAUUAGCUAGUUGGUAAGGUAACGGCUUACCAAGGCAACGAUGCAUAGCCGACCUGAGAGAGUGAUCGGCCACACUGGAACUGAGACACGGUCCAGACUCCUACGAGAGGCAGCAGUAGGGAAUCUUCCGCAAUGGGCGAAAGCCUGACGGAGCAACGCCGCGUGAGUGAUGAAGGUCUUCGGAUCGUAAAACUCUGUUAUGAGGGAAGAACAUAUGUGUAAGUAACUGUGCACAUCUUGACGGUACCUAAUCAGAAAGCCACGGCUAACUACGUG
rnacentral:rRNA from 1 species